CAUGAAGUUGGAAUCACUAGUAAUCGCGGAUCAGCAUGCCGCGGUGAAUGCGUUCUCGGGCCUUGUACACACCGCCCGUCACACCAUGAGAGUCGGGAACACCCGAAGUCCGUAGCCUAACCGCAAGGGGGGCGCGGCCGAAGGUGGGCUCGAUAAUUGGGGUGAAGUCGUAACAAGGUAAC
rnacentral:rRNA from 1 species